rnacentral:tRNA from 3 species
CCCCACGUAGCUUAAUGGUUUGAGCACUUGGCUGUAGCCCGAGAGGUUCCUGGUUCGAGUCCGGGCGUGGGGA